GACGAACGCUGGCGGCGUGCUUAACACAUGCAAGUCGAACGGUAAGGCCCUUUCGGGGGUACACGAGUGGCGAACGGGUGAGUAACACGUGGGUGAUCUGCCCUGCACUUUGGGAUAAGCCUGGGAAGCUGGGUCUAAUACCGGAUAGGACUACGCGAUGCAUGUCGUGUGGUGGAAAGCUUUUGCGGUGUGGGAUGGGCCCGCGGCCUAUCAGCUUGUUGGUGGGGUGAUGGCCUACCAAGGCGACGACGGGUAGCCGGCCUGAGAGGGUGUCCGGCCACACUGGGACUGAGAUACGGCCCAGACUCCUACGGGAGGCAGCAGUGGGGAAUAUUGCACAAUGGGCGCAAGCCUGAUGCAGCGACGCCGCGUGGGGGAUGACGGCCUUCGGGUUGUAAACCCCUUUCAGCACAGACGAAGCGUAAGUGACGGUAUGUGCAGAAGAAGCACCGGCCAACUACGUG
rnacentral:rRNA from 1 species